rnacentral:sRNA from 1 species
UGAAUACAUGAAAGCCGUAGACAGUAGGUGCUAAAAAGCUUAAUAUCCUACCGAGGACAUUUGUUAACCUUGGAGCUCUACGUCUUGUAGAGCUUUUU